rnacentral:rRNA from 1 species
AGCAAUCAAUAGCGGAGGGAAAGAAACUAACUAGGAUUCCCUUAGUAACGGCGAGUGAAGAGGGACUAGCCCAAAUUUGUAAUCUGGCUCUUUCAGAGUCCGAGUUGUAAUCUGGAGAACAGUUUUCCGUGUUGGACCUUGUAUAAGUCUGUUGGAAUAUAGCUUCGUAGAGGGUGAGAAUCCCGUACAUAACAAGGACUACCAAUGCUUUGUGAUACUGUCUCUAAGAGUCGAGUUGUUUGGGAAUGCAGCUCAAAUUGGGUGGUAAAUUCCAUCUAAGGCUAAAUAUUGGCGAGAGACCGAUAGCGAACAAGUACCGUGAGGGAAAGAUGAAAAGCACUUUGGAAAGAGAGUUAACAGUACGUGAAAUUGUUAAAAGGGAAACGAUUGAAGUCAGUCUUGUAGCUUUUCGUUCAACCGCAAGGUGUAUUCGGAUUGCAACAGGCCAGCAUCAAUUUUUGGUGUCGGAUAAGGGUAUUGGAAACGUAGCAAGCUCGGUUGUGUUAUAGUCCUUUACUUGAUAGCAUGCUGGGAUUGGAGGACGCAGUGAGCCUUUUGGCGGGUCUUUGGUCUCGAACACUUUGGAUU